rnacentral:rRNA from 1 species
GAUGAACGCUGGCGGCGUGCCUAAUACAUGCAAGUCGAGCGAACGGACGAGAAGCUUGCUUCUCUGAUGUUAGCGGCGGACGGGUGAGUAACACGUGGAUAACCUACCUAUAAGACUGGGAUAACUUCGGGAAACCGGAGCUAAUACCGGAUAAUAUUUUGAACCGCAUGGUUCAAAAGUGAAAGACGGUCUUGCUGUCACUUAUAGAUGGAUCCGCGCUGCAUUAGCUAGUUGGUAAGGUAACGGCUUACCAAGGCAACGAUGCAUAGCCGACCUGAGAGGGUGAUCGGCCACACUGGAACUGAGACACGGUCCAGACUCCUACGGGAGGCAGCAGUAGGGAACCUUCCGCAAUGGGCGAAAGCCUGACGGAGCAACGCCGCGUGAGUGAUGAAGGUCUUCGGAUCGUAAAACUCUGUUAUUAGGGAAGAACAUAUGUGUAAGUAACUGUGCACACCUUGACGGUACCUAAUCAGAAAGCCACGGCUAACUACGUG